GCAAAAUGGGUCUUACAAUUUGCAACUUAAAUCCAAUUUUAAGUUUAAGACAACCUAAAAAAUGGGCCCAUGAAACAAACCAAACUACUCUUUAGCAUGAUUUGAGUUUUGCUUAUGACAAGAUAAUUCGAGAUUUGCUUGCUAGAGCACAUUUGAAAACUUGGAUAAUUUUCUUGUGUUCUAUUCAAAUUCGACUUUGACUUCGUUUUGGAAUUGGUUAUUCUGAAAUAUUUGAUGCACUUAGACAACAUUGCUUUUGCAAGCUUUUAGUAGGUCCUAUUCUAAGCUUUGGUUACAAA
rnacentral:lncRNA from 1 species